rnacentral:rRNA from 1 species
UCGAGAAUCUUUCGCAAUGCCCGGAAGGGUGACGAAGCGACGCCGCGUGUGGGAAGAAGGCCUUCGGGUUGUAAACCACUGUCGGGAGUUAAGAAGUGUAAGGGGGUGAAUAGCCCUCUUACUUGACGUUAGCUCCGGAGGAAGCCACGGCUAACUCUGUGCCAGCAGCCGCGGUAAUACAGAGGUGGCAAGCGUUGUUCGGAAUUAUUGGGCGUAAAGAGCACGUAGGCGGCCCUACAAGUCAGCUGUGAAAUCCUUCUGCUCAACGGAAGAACGGCAGUUGAUACUAUAGGGCUGGAGUGCGGGAGGGGAGAGUGGAACUUCUGGUGGAGCGGUAAAAUGCGUAGAUAUCAGAAGGAACAUCGGCGGCGAAAGCGACUCUCUGGUCCAUAACUGACGCUGAGUGUGCGAAAGCUAGGGGAGCAAACGGGAUU